GGGGAAUUUUCCGCAAUGGGCGAAAGCCUGACGGAGCAAUACCGCGUGAAGGAAGACGGCCUAUGGGUUGUAAACUUCUUUUUUCAGGGAGGAACUCAAUGACGUGUACCUGAAGAAUAAGCAUCGGCUAACUCCGUGCCAGCAGCCGCGGUAAGACGGAGGAUGCAAGUGUUAUCCGGAAUCACUGGGCGUAAAGCGUCUGUAGGUGGUUUAGUAAGUCGACUGUUAAAUCUUGAGGCUCAACCUCAAAAUCGCAUUCGAAACUACUAGACUAGAGUAUAGUAGAGGUAAAGGGAAUUUCCAGUGGAGCGGUGAAAUGCGUAGAUAUUGGAGCGAACACCGAUGGCGAAAGCACUUUACUGGGCUAUUACUAACACUCAGAGACGAAAGCUAGGGUAGCAAAAGGGAUUAGAUACCCCAGUAGUC
rnacentral:rRNA from 1 species